rnacentral:rRNA from 1 species
GGGUUGUGAGGUUAAGCGACUAAGCGUACACGGUGGAUGCCCUGGCAGUCAGAGGCGAUGAAGGACGUGCUAAUCUGCGAUAAGCGUCGGUGAGGUGAUAUGAACCGUUAUAACCGGCGAUUUCCGAAUGGGGAAACCCAGUGUGAUUCGUCACACUAUCAUUAACUGAAUCCAUAGGUUAAUGAGGCGAACCGGGGGAACUGAAACAUCUAAGUACCCCGAGGAAAAGAAAUCAACCGAGAUUCCCCCAGUAGCGGCGAGCGAACGGGGAGGAGCCCAGAGCCUGAAUCAGUGUGUGUGUUAGUGGAAGCGUCUGGAAAGGCGUGCGAUACAGGGUGACAGCCCCGUACACAAAAAUGCACAUAUUGUGAGCUCGAUGAGUAGGGCGGGACACGUGGUAUCCUGUCUGAAUAUGGGGGGACCAUCCUCCAAGGCUAAAUACUCCUGACUGACCGAUAGUGAACCAGUACCGUGAGGGAAAGGCGAAAAGAACCCCGGCGAGGGGAGUGAAAAAGAACCUGAAACCGUGUACGUACAAGCAGUGGGAGCCUCUUAAUGGGGUGACUGCGUACCUUUUGUAUAAUGGGUCAGCGACUUAUAUUCUGUAGCAAGGUUAACCGAAUAGGGGAGCCGAAGGGAAACCGAGUCUUAACUGGGCGUUAAGUUGCAGGGUAUAGACCCGAAACCCGGUGAUCUAGCCAUGGGCAGGUUGAAGGUUGGGUAACACUAACUGGAGGACCGAACCGACUAAUGUUGAAAAAUUAGCGGAUGACUUGUGGCUGGGGGUGAAAGGCCAAUCAAACCGGGAGAUAGCUGGUUCUCCCCGAAAGCUAUUUAGGUAGCGCCUCGUGAAUUCAUCUCCGGGGGUAGAGCACUGUUUCGGCAAGGGGGUCAUCCCGACUUACCAACCCGAUGCAAACUGCGAAUACCGGAGAAUGUUAUCACGGGAGACACACGGCGGGUGCUAACGUCCGUCGUGAAGAGGGAAACAACCCAGACCGCCAGCUAAGGUCCCAAAGUCAUGGUUAAGUGGGAAACGAUGUGGGAAGGCCCAGACAGCCAGGAUGUUGGCUUAGAAGCAGCCAUCAUUUAAAGAAAGCGUAAUAGCUCACUGGUCGAGUCGGCCUGCGCGGAAGAUGUAACGGGGCUAAACCAUGCACCGAAGCUGCGGCAGCGACACUAUGUGUUGUUGGGUAGGGGAGCGUUCUGUAAGCCUGUGAAGGUGGCCUGUGAGGGUUGCUGGAGGUAUCAGAAGUGCGAAUGCUGACAUAAGUAACGAUAAAGCGGGUGAAAAACCCGCUCGCCGGAAGACCAAGGGUUCCUGUCCAACGUUAAUCGGGGCAGGGUGAGUCGACCCCUAAGGCGAGGCCGAAAGGCGUAGUCGAUGGGAAACAGGUUAAUAUUCCUGUACUUGGUGUUACUGCGAAGGGGGGACGGAGAAGGCUAUGUUGGCCGGGCGACGGUUGUCCCGGUUUAAGCGUGUAGGCUGGUUUUCCAGGCAAAUCCGGAAAAUCAAGGCUGAGGCGUGAUGACGAGGCACUACGGUGCUGAAGCGACAAAUGCCCUGCUUCCAGGAAAAGCCUCUAAGCAUCAGGUAACAUCAAAUCGUACCCCAAACCGACACAGGUGGUCAGGUAGAGAAUACCAAGGCGCUUGAGAGAACUCGGGUGAAGGAACUAGGCAAAAUGGUGCCGUAACUUCGGGAGAAGGCACGCUGAUAUGUAGGUGAAGCGACUUGCUCGUGGAGCUGAAAUCAGUCGAAGAUACCAGCUGGCUGCAACUGUUUAUUAAAAACACAGCACUGUGCAAACACGAAAGUGGACGUAUACGGUGUGACGCCUGCCCGGUGCCGGAAGGUUAAUUGAUGGGGUUAGCGGUAACGCGAAGCUCUUGAUCGAAGCCCCGGUAAACGGCGGCCGUAACUAUAACGGUCCUAAGGUAGCGAAAUUCCUUGUCGGGUAAGUUCCGACCUGCACGAAUGGCGUAAUGAUGGCCAGGCUGUCUCCACCCGAGACUCAGUGAAAUUGAACUCGCUGUGAAGAUGCAGUGUACCCGCGGCAAGACGGAAAGACCCCGUGAACCUUUACUAUAGCUUGACACUGAACAUUGAGCCUUGAUGUGUAGGAUAGGUGGGAGGCUUUGAAGUGUGGACGCCAGUCUGCAUGGAGCCGACCUUGAAAUACCACCCUUUAAUGUUUGAUGUUCUAACGUGGGCCCCUUACCGGGGUUGCGGACAGUGUCUGGUGGGUAGUUUGACUGGGGCGGUCUCCUCCUAAAGAGUAACGGAGGAGCACGAAGGUUGGCUAAUCCUGGUCGGACAUCAGGAGGUUAGUGCAAUGGCAUAAGCCAGCUUGACUGCGAGCGUGACGGCGCGAGCAGGUGCGAAAGCAGGUCAUAGUGAUCCGGUGGUUCUGAAUGGAAGGGCCAUCGCUCAACGGAUAAAAGGUACUCCGGGGAUAACAGGCUGAUACCGCCCAAGAGUUCAUAUCGACGGCGGUGUUUGGCACCUCGAUGUCGGCUCAUCACAUCCUGGGGCUGAAGUAGGUCCCAAGGGUAUGGCUGUUCGCCAUUUAAAGUGGUACGCGAGCUGGGUUUAGAACGUCGUGAGACAGUUCGGUCCCUAUCUGCCGUGGGCGCUGGAGAACUGAGGGGGGCUGCUCCUAGUACGAGAGGACCGGAGUGGACGCAUCACUGGUGUUCGGGUUGUCAUGCCAAUGGCACUGCCCGGUAGCUAAAUGCGGAAGAGAUAAGUGCUGAAAGCAUCUAAGCACGAAACUUGCCCCGAGAUGAGUUCUCCCUGACUCCUUGAGAGUCCUGAAGGAACGUUGAAGACGACGACGUUGAUAGGCCGGGUGUGUAAGCGCAGCGAUGCGUUGAGCUAACCGGUACUAAUGAACCGUGAGGCUUAACCUUACAA